rnacentral:rRNA from 1 species
UACAGAGGGUGCAAGCGUUAAUCGGAAUUACUGGGCGUAAAGCGUGCGCAGGCGGUUGUGCAAGACAGAUGUGAAAUCCCCGGGCUUAACCUGGGAAUUGCAUUUGUGACUGCACGGCUAGAAUCUGGCAGAGGGGGGUAGAAUUCCACGUGUAGCAGUGAAAUGCGUAGAGAUGUGGAGGAAUACCGAUGGCGAAGGCAGCCCCCUGGGCUAAGAUUGACGCUCAUGCACGAAAGCGUGGGGAGCAAACAGG